GACGAACGCUGGCGGCGUGCUUAACACAUGCAAGUCGAACGGUGAAGCGCCUUCCUUUUUGGUGGGUGUGGAUGAGUGGCGAACGGGUGAGUAACACGUGAGUAACCUGCCCCCUUCUUCUGGAUAACCGCAUGAAAGUGUGGCUAAUACGGGAUAUUCUGGGUCUGUCGCAUGAUGGGUCUGGGAAAGAUAUUGUUUCGGUGGGGGAUGGGCUCGCGGCCUAUCAGCUUGUUGGUGGGGUGAUGGCCUACCAAGGCGGUGACGGGUAGCCGGCCUGAGAGGGUGGACGGUCACACUGGGACUAAGACACGGCCCAGACUCCUACGGGAGGCAGCAGUGGGGAAUAUUGCACAAUGGGCGCAAGCCUGAUGCAGCGACGCCGCGUGAGGGAUGGAGGCCUUCGGGUUGUGAACCUCUUUCGCCAGUGAAGCAGGCCUGCCUCGUUUGUGGGUGGGUUGACGGUAGCUGGAUAAGAAGCGCCGGCUAACUACGUG
rnacentral:rRNA from 1 species